UACGAAGGGUGCAAGCGUUACUCGGAAUUACUGGGCGUAAAGCGUGCGUAGGUGGUGGUUUAAGUCUGUUGUGAAAGCCCUGGGCUCAACCUGGGAAUUGCAGUGGAUACUGGAUCACUAGAGUGUGGUAGAGGGUGGCGGAAUUCCCGGUGUAGCAGUGAAAUGCGUAGAUAUCGGGAGGAACACCAGUGGCGAAAGCGGCUUCCUGGUCCAACACUGACACUGAGGCACGAAAGCGUGGGGAGCGAACAGG
rnacentral:rRNA from 1 species